UACAGAGGGUGCGAGCGUUAAUCGGAAUUACUGGGCGUAAAGCGCGCGUAGGCGGCUUUGCAAGUCGGGUGUGAAAUCCCCGGGCUUAACCUGGGAAUGGCGUUUGAAACUACGGAGCUGGAGUGUGGCAGAGGGAGGUAGAAUUCCACGUGUAGCGGUGAAAUGCGUAGAUAUGUGGAGGAAUACCGAUGGCGAAGGCAGCCUCCUGGGCCAACACUGACGCUCAUGCACGAAAGCGUGGGGAGCAAACAGG
rnacentral:rRNA from 1 species